GCCAACGAGCAGCAUCUGUAAACUGCAACGCUGAGGAUGAACGCAACGACUCGGGAAUGCUGCCGACGGGUUUCCAAGUCUAAUUGGUGACUUUGCUUGUUUUCCUAAGAGAGCUGUUGUUGAGAUUAUGUUUUCCUGACCGAAAUAUUGUUGACAUUUUUAUUUGUUACACAUCUGUUGAGCAAGACGUACACACAAAAAACACAUGGCGAUGUGUUUUUGUUUGUUUUUAAAACAACCAAUUUCAAAGUCGAUAUGUAUGUGCGCUCUCCUGUUGUUCGGCUAAAUGCCCAACGCUCUUCCAUCUGCUUUAUUUUUUUCCACAGGAGGCACGGGCGCAACGACAUCAAAGAGCCGGAAGCGUCAUCACCGCCGUCGUCGGAACGCGACCGCCACGGAGCCCCAGCUCUUCUAGGGCAACGAAAUCCGCUGUGAAUUCCGAUAAACAGUGGGAAUGGUGGCGCGCGACGCAAAUGCACGGAAGAUCCUGUGAAGGCUGCGUGCAGUUAUCGUGUUGGCAGGUCCAUAUUUCCGAUUGCUCUGGCCCAAAUGUGACAUGUCAUACAGCCAAGACCUCUCGGGAGUCCACCGCAGCUGCACAGCAUCAGGGCUUCUCUGCCACAAAGCAAUUGUUGCCAGGUACGAUGUACAAAUAAACCGAUACGUAACCAUGAGAAGAUGAAUAUCUCCGGAACACCGGAAGAGGUGCAAUCAUUAGGCAACUGACAACAACAAAAACGGCACCGUUAAUGCCCUGGGAAGACUCACAGAUUACCCAGGACAGCAGCCAUCUCCUCAACAAGAGAACGAUGCCUGAACAAAAAAAGACCAGGACAGGUGGGAAUCCAAAUCACAGCUCAGAUCAGCCCAGGGCUGAACCUAGAGCCGAGCUGGCAAAGUCCAUCAGCACCCGCUCACUCAGCUGGUGGCAAUUUAGCUGGCGUUGUGAAUAACCAGUCGGUGAAUGGUCGAUGACAACCUGCGGAAUAUCAGCCAAGUCCCCGUCUCUGGAUUUCAUCCGCUCAUUCUGUUGGUUUCGUUGACUUAAAGCAGUCAACUAUUAUAUAUUCUUGGCAAGAAAAU